AUCGACCCUUUCUAUUAACGUGA
rnacentral:siRNA from 1 species